CACUGAAGCACCUUCAUGCCCCAGCCAGCCCCGUCAGUGUACAUAUGUAUUGCAGCACACUAAAUGAUGCAACUGCAGGAUAAGAAUUUUGUUUACAAGUACCAACCUAUGACAGAGUUUAUAAAUUUACUGUGGCCUAAUAGGGCCACAUGUGUAAAUGCUGAGACUUCUGCAGAGCUAAUUAUGCAACUCCACAGUGAUGCAUCUUGCUAAAUG